rnacentral:misc_RNA from 1 species
UCCCCGUUCUCCUGGGCAGUCUCUCCAGAGUUCUCGGCUUGACCCGUUAGUAACUGAAGACAGGGGUUGCGCUCGUUGCGGGACUUAACCCAACACCUCACGACACGAGCUGACGACAGCCAUGCAGCACCUGUGUUACGGUUCCCUUUCGGGCACACCUCCAUCUCUGGAGGCUUCCGUACAUGUCAAGGGUAGGUAAGGUUCUUCGCGUUGCGUCGAAUUAAACCACAUGCUCCACCGCUUGUGCGGGCCCCCGUCAAUUCCUUUGAGUUUCAGCCUUGCGGCCGUACUCCCCAGGCGGGGUACUUAUUGCGUUAGCUGCGGCGCUGAACGUGUCGAAACGCCCAGUACCUAGUACCCAUCGUUUACGGCUAGGACUAC